UGGGGCCAAAGAAUGUCAAGAAUCCGAUUAAUGAUUGUCCUGGUUCCUGCGGGAGCUGGGCUGACCCAGAGGGGGCUCUGGGCUGGCUCCGGCCGGCCACUGGAGGAGUUGAAGCAAGGUUUGGGGGACCUCCCAGGAAGUCCCCAGUUUUGGCAAUCAUCUCAGGAGGCCUCUGCGGGGCUAGGAACGGAAAGUAACUCAGCUUUGCCGCUUGGCUGCAGAGAAUUCUUCUUUGUGUGAGCCACUUGUUUCAUCAGGGCUCAUUUUCUCUAGUGAAAGAGACACUCAGCUUGCCCAGGCCAACUGCUGUCUUCGUACCCGCGCGGUCCCUGCGUGGCCCGGCCCCGCCCCAUCCGGCAGCAAAGACCGGAACCAACAGCACUCGCCCCCUGAGAACCCUAGGCCUUAGAACCUGAGACGCAUGCCGGCCACGGAGGAGGGCACAAAGGGCUGGUCAGCCCGAAUCACUGUUCAUCUAUUCACCUCAUGCAUCACACGUUCUCUGGGAAGGGCCCCCGGGUCGGGGUUAGAAAUGAAUAAGGCAGGGCACCUGGGUGGUUCAGUCGGCCGAACAUCAGACUUCGGCUCGGGUGAUGAUCUCGCAGUUCGUGAGUUCGAGCCCAA